GGGCUCGUAGCUCAGAAGGUCAGAGCGCACGCCUGAUAAGCGUGAGGUCGGAGGUUCGAUUCCUCCCGAGCCCACCA
rnacentral:tRNA from 3 species